UUAGUUCUUUGUUAGAGCUGGAAGAGAGUGUAUGGUGUUCCAGGCUGGUGGCUGGGACUUCACAAGGACAAGGCCCUGAGACAGAUUGUGUAUGACUUGGCCAGAGGGCUGAGUCAGUGAAGACCCACCCAAACAGGUAGAGAGUGCAGCCACAUGCGCUUGGCGAGAGGUGAGUGCAACCCUGUUACAGUAAGAUAAUAGGAAACUAACAAAGAACACUAAGCUAUAUGUUCUGAGCAUGCCGUUGUAUGGUAGCGAGACUUGGACCACUGGCAGCAGGCUCAAGAGAAGGCUAAGCAGCUGUCUUUGUUGGUGUAUUUUUAAAUCUCAAGUGGGAAACCAAAGUUCCUGCCACUGAAGUACUUAAGAAAGCAAAAUUGCCAAGUCUAAUCACCUUUCUCAAAAACAAGUCUGUUGGCUUGGCCUGCACUGGAUGGACAAAGGACAUAUUCCAAAAUAUCUCUUGAGUAGACAACUUGCAGAUACUCUGGGCUGACCUAGGAUCAAGUUGAAGGACAUUUGUAAGGGAGACUUAAACUUUCAAUGUCAAUACUGCAAGCUGAGAAGAUGCAGCUAACAGGCUACCCUAGAGGGCUGUGCCAGGGAGUCAGAGGCUGGUUGAGGGAGGGAAAGUUAAGAGAGCAAAAAGGAAAGCACAGCAGGCCUCAAGCACUAGUAGUGCACCAGCUUCAUUCUCUGGCCAUGUGCCUUAGACCUGCAUUAUCUGGGGCAAGGACUGUCACUCAAGAACUGGCCUCCUUAGCCACUUGUGCUGCUGCAGUGUGACACACACUGACCGAAUUGUAUAGCCUUCUCCUGUGCCUGCUUUGGUGCAGACACCAGAAUUUUCUGAGAUGGACAGUUGCCAUAAUUAGGAUGAUCUGGUAGUCUCUUGGUUAUGACUAUGAAUUUCAAAAGUGUCACAGUUUACCAUGUAACUAUUACCACUGCUCAGUAAUAAAGCCCACCAAACAUCCAGGGUGCCACUAGCAUUCUCAGUGUACCAUGACUGGGAAGCAAGCACCAUUGGAGCUUCAGCAGCCAGGACUCAUAGGUGCUAGCCGUGGUGGGGCCCAAUAAUCACACAGACACAUGGCUAAGGGAAAGGGCAUUUUACUAGGGAUGGUGGGACAGGUUGCAAAUACCCUAGGUACAGAUACUUGAACUGUAACUGUUCAAAGUGAGUAAUAGUAAUUCUUUGGGUCCUUGGGGCAGUCCAAUCGAGAGUCAGGGCUGUUCAGGCCUAGUGCCUGGGUGCCCUCUCCUGUCCAACCUCUAUAAAAGUAAGGGCCCCUCUGCACUGACAUGCUGCCUGCCUGCAGCUGCGCCCCCAUAAUUCCCAUGCAGAUCUACACCCAGCUGUAACAUCUGGCAGUCACCUUCUCGUCUGUUCCACUCACAGCUCUGCAUACUAUUCCUGCCUCCCGUUUGCCUCCAGCUCCUUGCUUGCAAUGCAGCUGCUGGUCCCAAUUCCCAAACAGAGCUCAGCCACUUCCUGGUUCAAGACUGAAAUGGCCCAGGAAAAGUGAUGUGCACUGGGUAGGGGAUUGAUGGGAGCUUAGCAGAUCCGUCACAACUACAUGAUUAAAUGCCAGGUGCUGAAAAAACUGGAUUCUGAAAGAUGGCUAAUAGUAGAGCUGUGUGAACUGUUCUCUGAACAUUAAUUUUAUUAUUUUUUACCCCUUUCUGUGUUAAAUUUUUGGAGAAGAAACUUUUGAUUUUUGUAUACUUUUUGUUAACUGGUCAAAAUUAUCUGAGUGAUUUUGAUUUUUGUGAGUUUGUUUUUCCAAACAUAUUUCAGUUUAUGGAUUUCACAUGAACUAUUUGACUGAUUCAAGUAUUUACUCUUUGUG